rnacentral:lncRNA from 1 species
GUUUUGCCGUUGUUGAAUUCUAUUUUAAAGUAUAAUUUCUUUCAAUUUUUUGAAAGACAUGUGCUAUUUAAUAUUAAAUCACUUUAAAUAUUUGUUACUUUUAAAUCUUCCUUUUAAUAUAACACAAUCAAUAAAAUUAAAAGUAAAUGUUAACAAAAAACAAUAUGUUAAUUAUUCUGUAUUUUAGCAACUGCAAAUUCGGAAGUUAAAUUUAACAUAAUCAAACAUUAAUAUAUAUCAAAACAAAAAACUUAGUUACUUCAGAUUGAAAUAUUCUUACAACAACUUUAAUAAUUUAUUCUAAUUUUUAUUAUUUUAUAGUAAUAUUAACUAUAAAUUACAAGCCCUUUUUCGAGAUAUAUUCAUUAUUGUCUCUUGUUUUGAAAAUUUGAACAUAGUUUAACAUUAAUACAUAAAUUAGAAAAACAAACUUUUGUCUUAAUAAUGUUACUUUUGAAAUUAAUAAUUAUUUAUUCUUUAGUUUUGUUUCAACACAUUUUCAAAAAAAAAAUUCUAUAUACUUUUAAGAUCAAUGGUUUUGAAGUUGAUUCUCUAGGUGCUAAUGUAAAAAAUCACGUCUAUAGUUGACAUUAUUGGAUAAAUGAGUAGAUUAGUGGGCGACGACGUCCGACUUUAAGAUGGGUUUUCUCUCUAAAUACAUUGAACUUCAUAAUGCCCAUAGAAUCAAAACAAACUGUAUUGUCCACACUUUCAAUCAUUAUAUGAAGUUUGAUGUCGUUGGCAAUGACAAAAUUAUUGUCGAAUCAAGUACAAUUCUUGAAAACUAUCUUAUUAUAUAUUAAUAAAUGUUAUGUAAUGAUAAAUUUAAACUUACAUCGAAUUUAAAGAAAUAUUGUAAUGCAAAAUGAUGUUUUGCCGUUGUUGAAUUCUACUUUAAAGUAUAAUUUCUUUCAAUUUUUUGAAAGACAUCUGCUAUUUAAUAUUAAAUCACUUUAAUUAUUUGUUACUUUUAAAUCUUCCUUUAAUAUAACACAAUCAACAAAAUUAAAAGUAAAUGUUAACAAAAACUAAUAUGUUAAUUAUUAUGUAUUUUAGCAACUGCAAAUUCGAAAGUUAAAUUGAACAUAAUCAAACAUUAAUAUAAAUAAAAACAAAAAACUUAGUUAAUUCAGAUUAAAAUAUUCUUACAACAACUUCAAUAAUUUAUUCAAAUUUUUAUUAUUUUAUAGUAAUAUUAACUAUAAAUUACAACCCCUUUUUCGAGAUAUAUUCAUUAUUGUCUCUUGUUUCGAAAUUUUGAACAUAAUUUAACGUUAAUACAUCAAUUAGAAAAACAAACUUUUGUCUUACUAAUGUCACUUUCGAAAUUAAUAAUUAUUUAUUCUUUAGUUUUGUUUCUACACAUUUUCAAUAAAAAAUUCUAUAUACUUUUAAGAUCAAUGGUUUUGAAGUUGAUUCUAUAGGUGCUAAUGUAAAAAAUCACGUCUAUGGUUGACAUUAUUGGAUAAAUGAGUAGAUUAGUGGACAACGACGUCCGACUUUAAGAUGGGUUUUUUCUCUCUAAAUACAUUGAACUUCAUAAUGCCCAUAGAAUCAAAACAAACUGUAUUGUCCACACUUUCAAUCAUUAUAUGAAGUUUGAUGUCGUUGGCAAUGACAAAAUUAUUGUCGAAUCAAGUACAAUUCUUGAAAACUAUCUUAUUAUAUAUUAAUAAAUGUUAUGUAAUGAUAAAUUUAAACUUACAUCGAAUUUAAAGAAAUAUUGUAA